CUACGGGAGGCAGCAGUCGAGAAUAAUUCACAAUGGGGGCAACCCUGAUGGUGCAACGCCGCGUGGAGGAUGACGGUCUUCGGAUUGUAAACUCCUGUCAUCCGGGAGUAAGACCUGGGGGUUAAUAGCCCACAGGGUUGAUAGUACCGGAAGAGGAAGGGACGGCUAACUUCGUGCCAGCAGCCGCGGUAAUACGAAGGUCCCGAGCGUUGUUCGGAAUCACUGGGCGUAAAGGGAGCGUAGGCGGCGUGGUAAGUCAGAUGUGAAAUCCCGGGGCUCAACCCCGGAACUGCAUCCGAUACUGCCGUGCUUAGAGGAUUGGAGAGGUAGCUGGAAUUCUUGGUGUAGCAGUGAAAUGCGUGGAUAUCAAGAGGAACACUCGUGGCGAAAGGGAGCUACUGGACAACUCCUGACGCUGAGGCUCGAAGGCCAGGGUAGCGAAAGGGAUUAGAUACCCCUGUAGUCCUGGCAGUAAACGGUGCACGCUUGGUGUGAGGGGAAUCGACCCCCCUUGUGCCGGAGCAAACGCGUUAAGCGUGCCGCCUGGGAAGUACGGUCGCAAGACUAAAACUCAAAGAAAUUGACGGGGACCCGCACAAGCGGUGGAGUAUGUGGCUUAAUUCGAUGCAACGCGAAGAACCUUACCUGGGCUUGACAUGCAUCUCUAAGCGCGUGAAAGCGCGUGACCCUUCGGGGGAUUUGCACAGGUGCUGCAUGGCCGUCGUCAGCUCGUGUCGUGAGAUGUUGGGUUAAGUCCCGCAACGAGCGCAACCCUUGUGACUAGUUGCCAGCGCGUUAUGGCGGGAACUCUAGUCAGACUGCCCAGAUCAACUGGGAGGAAGGUGGGGACGACGUCAGGUCAGUAUGGCCCUUACGCCCAGGGCUGCACACGUACUACAAUGCCCAGUACAAUGAGAACCGAGACCGCGAGGUGGAGGAAAUCUAUAAAACUGGGCCCAGUUCGGAUUGGAGGCUGCAACUCGCCUCCAUGAAGUUGGAAUCGCUAGUGAUGGCGCAUCAUCUACGGCGCCGUGAAUACGUUCCCGGGCCUUGUA
rnacentral:rRNA from 1 species